UACGAAGGGAGCUAGCGUUGUUCGGAAUCAUUGGGCGUAAAGAGCGCGUAGGCGGCCCGAUAAGUCCGCUGUGAAAGUCAAGGGCUCAACCCUUGAAUGCCGGUGGAUACUGUCGGGCUAGAGUGCGGAAGAGGCGAGUGGAAUUCCUGGUGUAGCGGUGAAAUGCGCAGAUAUCAGGAGGAACACCUAUUGCGAAGGCAGCUCGCUGGGACGUAACUGACGCUGAGACGCGAAAGCGUGGGGAGCAAACAGG
rnacentral:rRNA from 1 species